CCACCUCACUGGCUUCGCCGCUAAUCGCUCUCCCGUCUUCGAUCUCCUUUGCGAGUAACUUGUGCUGCCGAUAAAGACACGUGUACGCUACCUUGGCCCCGCUGCGCCCAUCUUACGAGGUGAGAUUUCCCGGCGCCACCGUCAGAGAGUCUUCCAUCGCCCUCCUCCGGCCGAUCACCGGCGCUGAUCCAUGUGGUAUACACGUUGACCUCCGGUUCUCCCCUUGCUCUCCUCCCUCGCCGUCACCUUUGGCGACCACUUCUCCGUCCGGUGCCCCAACCGCUCUGAGACUCCUGUUUCGACGAUUCCAAUGCAAAAGAAUCCAACGUCGAAAGCUCAGAAUUUAGCCUCUCGUCACUGUCGUCGAUUUUCGAUUGUUUUUCAACAGCAUUUGAGGACUCCCAAUUCUUUGAUACCUGUGCAGCUUGUCUCCUGCCAAGAAACAAUCAAAACAUGAAAACCAUCGUCUGUGAGCGUUGGAUUGAGGCCACGUGGCCCUGGAUAACCAUGACCUCCAGUUGACCAAGCUUGGCCGAGUGGGAGACGUGGACAAAUCUCGUCGGUUGAGGUAUAUGUGCCUAGUUUUGGCUACAGUUAUUAAUUUAUUGGUAUAUACAGCUAUUAUAUAGUGCACCAUGUCAUCUACGUACAGCUUGUUGUGCAUUGAUAUCUUUUUGCUUAAAUGACAAAAAAUGAUAGAUGUUCUUAUUUU